UGAGGAAUAUUGGUCAAUGGGCGAGAGCCUGAACCAGCCAAGUAGCGUGCAGGAUGACGGCCCUAUGGGUUGUAAACUGCUUUUAUAUGGGAAUAAAGUGAGGGACGUGUCCCUUAUUGCAUGUACCAUACGAAUAAGGACCGGCUAAUUCCGUGCCAGCAGCCGCGGUAAUACGGAAGGUCCAGGCGUUAUCCGGAUUUAUUGGGUUUAAAGGGAGCGUAGGCUGUUUGUUAAGCGUGUUGUGAAAUGUAGGAGCUCAACUUUUAGAUUGCAGCGCGAACUGGCAGACUUGAGUGCGCACAACGUAGGCGGAAUUCAUGGUGUAGCGGUGAAAUGCUUAGAUAUCAUGAAGAACUCCGAUUGCGAAGGCAGCUUACGGGAGCGCAACUGACGCUGAAGCUCGAAGGUGCGGGUAUCGAACAGG
rnacentral:rRNA from 1 species